rnacentral:rRNA from 1 species
GNANAUUUUAUAUCUUGAAACUGCGAACGGCUCAUUAAAUCAGUUAUAAUCUACUUGAUUGUAAAAUCUACAUGGAUAACUGUAGUAAUUCUAGAGCUAAUACAUGCAAAAAAUCCUGACUGUUAUAGAAAGGAUGUAUUUAUUAGGUACAAAAUCAAUGCUGGCACUUGUGUCAGGUUUAUUGAUGAUUCAUAAUAACUAAACGAAGCGCACGACCUUGAGUUGGCGCUGAUACAAACGAGUUUCUGCCCUAUCAACUUUCGAUGGUAGUAUAGAGGACUACCAUGGUUUCAACGGGUAACGGGAAAUA